UACGUAGGGGGCAAGCGUUGUCGGGAUUUAUUGGGCGUAAAGAGCGUGUAGGCGGCCUGAAAGGUCAGCUGUGAAAACUCGAGGCUCAACCUCGAGACGUCGGUUGAAACCAUCUGGCUAGAGUCCGGAAGAGGAGUGUGGAAUUCCCGGUGUAGCGGUGAAAUGCGCAGAUAUCGGGAGGAACACCUGUGGCGAAAGCGGCUCACUGGACCAUAACUGACGCUGAUGCACGAAAGCGUGGGUAGCAAACAGG
rnacentral:rRNA from 1 species